AUAUGGAAAAGCACCUGGUUAUGUAAAUAACUCAGAGCAACAAAUGGAGAGGCAAGCAAGCAGAAAACCAUUUAGCUGUUCUGAUUGGCUUAAAAGACAGAAACAGAAGAGCACUCUGAACGAACACAUUAGAAUUGAGACAGGACAAAAAACAUUUGGCUGUGCUCACAGAUUUGGGCAAAAGAGCAGUCUGGACACUCACAUGAUAAUUCAUACAGGACAAAAACCAUUUGUCUGUUCUGAGUGUGGUAAAAGAUUUGGACUAAAGUCCAUCCUGAACAGACACAUGAUAAUUCAUACAGGGCAAAAACAAUUUGUCUGUUCUGAAUGUGUGUGGUAAAGGAUUUGGACACAAGAGCAACCUGAACACACACAUGAUAUUUCAUGCAUCCAGCAAAGAACACCAAAGCAAGCCAGCCUCUCGCACAUAAGGAGAAGUAGGAGUCGUUCACCACCUCAACCACAAAACAAUAUACAAAUGCGCCCAGACCCAGAGCAGUGGGAAUUAGAAGAUGAAUUGGCAAAUAAGAUUGAGGAAACAAGGAGAAUGAAACAUGAAAGAGUGUCCAAAGCUGAUCAAAUUGAAGGAUUAAAAAGUUCAAAAGUAUACCACAGUAAUUUAACCAGGGAUUGGCUAGACUGGUCCCAGAAGAAACCACAUUGACAGAUUUAAAUGUGUGAAUUAUGGAGCAGCAUGGUACAUACAAAUGAAAUUAGCCCCACAUUAUUUAGGGAGAAAAGGAACCCCAAUUAAGAAAAAGCAUGCCGUGCCACGAUGGUAAAAGACAUUACAACAGAAAAUCAGCCACCUGAUGGUAAUUUUUGGGAGGCAAAACCAUAAAAGAAACCUCCUUAAAAAUGUCAAUCGCAUUAAAUGAAAAUACAGUGUUGAAGAUGCACAACUGGGUGGGAGGCUGGCUGAACAUCAAGCCUGAGUGAAAGCUUUGGGUGCACAAAUUAGGAACAAAGACAAGAAAAUAAAUGCAAAACAGAUAAACAAGCAAUUUGCAAAAAACUCCAGGCUAGUGUACAGGAAGUUGGCAAACAACACAAUAGAAGUACAACAGCUACUCAAGAGAGAAGAAGUUGAAAGAUUGUGGAGACCAUUCUUUGAAGACCCAAAGCAACACCAGGAGGCCGAGUGGAUUGAAAUAAUAAAACAGAAAAACAAAGAUAAACAGCAAAUGGCAGCAAUUGUAAUCACUGAAGAGGAGAUCA